GAACCUGUGUUUUCUCUGCAGAGGACUCACUGAGACUCUGUGUCUGGUAGAAGCUUUGCUUCGAGAGGCGCUUACACAUAGAGGAGGACUGGGCAAUCCCUCUGUGAUGAUGUGAAUGGCUUUCCAGGAAACACACCUGAAGAGCCUGCUGGCAGUUGAUACUCAUCAGGGUCAGGGCCCUGAGCUGCCGAGAAUGAAGCUACAGACAUGAGAGCCUGGUUCAGUGCGAAGUCCUGGAGAGUAGAGACGUCGUCUUCACCAACAAGGCUGGGUGGGAUUAUACACUUCCACAGCUGAAUGUCUGCGUGUGACUUGCAUCAAAGGGAAGACAGACAUCAGGAGGCUAUGUCUUCAAUCACUCAAAACGUCUCCAUGAAAUUUCAAGACAUAAUACAGAAGUG